rnacentral:rRNA from 1 species
ACAGUCACACGUAGUUGAUCCUGGCUCAGAACGAACGUUAGCGGCAGCGCGGGGGCAACCCUGGCGGCGAGCGGCGAACGGGUGAGUAACAUAUCGGAACGUACCCAGUCGUGGGGGAUAACUAUCCGAAAGGAUAGCUAAUACCGCAUACGUCCUGAGGGAGAAAGCGGGGGAUCGCAAGACCUCGCGCGAUUGGAGCGGCCGAUAUCGGAUUAGCUAGUUGGUGGGGUAAAGGCUCACCAAGGCGACGAUCCGUAGCGGGUCUGAGAGGACGACCCGCCACACUGGAACUGAGACACGGUCCGGACUCCUACGGGGAGGCAGCAGGUGGGGUAAUUUUGGACAAUGGGGGCAACCCUGAUCCAGCCAUUCCGCGUGAGUGAAGAAGGCCUUCGGGUUGUAAAGCUCUUUCAGCAGGAACGAAACGGUGGUCCCUAAUACGGACUACUAAUGACGGUACCUGAAGAAGAAGCACCGGCUAACUACGUG